rnacentral:lncRNA from 1 species
GAAAAAAUAAAGCCACAAUUCCAAUUUAUACCCAUUAUUCCUUGAAUACACCACACAGUACGUGCCUCAUAAUUCAAGCUUAGACAGGAGCAUCUUUCGUCAGUGACAGAAUGGCUUUGACAGAGUAUCAUACUACACUGGGCCUUCUUUGGGACAAAGUGCUCCAUUUCUUCAAUAGUUUCUGUAUAUUGAGCACUCAGUAGGCAUUCCAGUAAUAUGUUAAGUUACUGAGCAUAUGUUCCAAAAAUAUUACUGAAGCUCACUGAACUUAAAUGUGUAAUUAAAGCACGUAUUCUACCACUGAGAUCUAAUAAAAAUAUUUAAACAAAAGAAAAGGUCCCUAAUGAGAGAUUACAUACUAGGAAAUAGGAGUCAAUUUUGAAAAAAAUAAACCAGUAUACACUGCUUAGACAUUUGGAGUUAAUUUAAGUACAUGUACAAGCAUCAAUUUCAUGUUCAAAACCCAGAUGCAAUCUCAUGGAAGAAAGAAGGCUAAUAAAAUAUUACUGUUGAUGUGUUGCAGCCCCUAUACACACAUAAUCAUCUAGGAAUAGAAUAAAUGAGAUAGAUGAAAGUCUUAAGGAAAAUUAUCCUCAUGACUAUUAAAAGGAGUGUUAGACUAAUGGGUAACACUAGGCAUCAUAAAGAUACAGUCUGUAAUAACUUCCCAAAUAUUAUUCACCAAAAAAUAAAGGCAAUGUAUUUAAAUUUUGAAAAUUAUUCCUGUUCUAAUUUUCACUACAACAUAACAAAAUAAUUACCUCUUUAAAAUUACAAUAACCCUUAAAAAUCUGCCAAUUCAACAAGCAGAAUAGGAGGACAAGCAUUUGUCCUUGGCUGGUGAAAAGUCUACCAAUAGAAUAAAACUGGAGGGUAAAGCGUCAAAGAAGAGAGCAAAUAUGACAUACAUGAACACAUCUUCUCCAUCUUUCUCUUUUUUCUUCCUCUCCCAAAACACUGCCUCUUCCCAUUUACUAAAGAUGACCUAGGUUACAGUUCUACUUCCAGUCACAGGAGGACACCAAGCCAGCAUGAAGGCAUGUCAUUGAGGGUAGAAACUAACCUAACACAUGUUCGGCAUCCAGCUCUCUCUGAAUCUUUAUGAACCUCUGACUUUGUUUGUCCAGUCCGUUUAAGCUUUGCCUUAUCAUUAAUAUGUUUCCCAGGAUCUCAACUCACAGCCCGCACACCAGUUUACCAAUCUUGUCUCCUCUGCUCAGACACAGCAUUCAUGAGAUCUGUCCAUCUUUGGUCCACUGUUCCAGCAUCAGGACUCAGUCUCUCUCGACAUAUAUUUUGAAAGGCAACUUAAUGAUGCAGUUACCCAGCUACCCGUUCAGUUAUACUCUACUACAUACUACAAAUAUUGCUCACUGCUGACCCGAGUAAGGCAGAUGAUUCAAAGGCACACCUUAAUUUAAGAUUUCAUUUGCUGCCUUAGUUGUUUUCCCACAAAUAAUCAUUAAUUUCCAAGUAGUCUAUCAUGUCUUAUUUCUGAAGUGGUAAAUACCACUCAAAAUAGAUAUAGGGGUACAUACACAUGUAUGUAUACAUACACAUAUGGAAACACUAUGAAAUGGUUGACAUAGAGCUUACUGAGUUUUCUCGCAUCAAAAUUAUUGUGCUUCCAUUCUCUAAGGCCUAGAAUUCUGAGAUCUUGUAUGGCUAUCAUUGCAUCUCUUAGGGUGGGCCUACAGUUGUUUUCAGAGGCAGAUAGGUAGACAGACAUAAAAAAAAAAAAAAAAAAAAA